rnacentral:rRNA from 1 species
CGCAGCCGCGGUAAUUCCAGCUCCAAUAGCGUAUAUUAAAGUUGUUGCAGUUAAAAAGCUCGUAGUUGAAUUUCGGGAUCAAUACGUCGGUCGUGCUUCGGUACGUACUGGCGUCAUUGAUUUCUCCCUUCUGACGAACCACGAUGUCAUUAACUUGGUGUCAUGGGAAAUCAGGACUGUUACUUUGAAAAAUUAGAGUGUUUAAAGCAGGCUCACGCUUGAAUACAUUAGCAUGGAAUAAUGAAAUAGGACGUUCGAUCCUAUUUUGUUGGUUUUAGGAUCAACGUAAUGAUUAAUAGGGAUAGUUGGGGGCAUUAGUAUUCAAUUGUCAGAGGUGAAAUUCUUGGAUUUAUUGAAGACUAACUACUGCGAAAGCAUUUGCCAAGGAUGUUUUCAUUAAUCAAGAACGAAAGUUAGGGGAUCGAAGACGAUCAGAUACCGUCGUAGUCU